rnacentral:rRNA from 1 species
UACAGAGGGGGCAAGCGUUGUUCGGAAUUACUGGGCGUAAAGGGCGCGUAGGCGGCCCGCUAAGUCGAACGUGAAAUCCCUGGGCUUAACCCAGGAACUGCGUCCGAUACUGGCAGGCUUGAAUCCGGGAGAGGGAUGCGGAAUUCCAGGUGUAGCGGUGAAAUGCGUAGAUAUCUGGAGGAACACCGGGGGCGAAGGCGGCAUCCUGGACCGGUAUUGACGCUGAGACGCGAAAGCCAGGGGAGCAAACGGGAUUAGAUACCCCGGUAGUCCUGGCCCUAAACGAUGAAUGCUUGGUGUGGCGGGUAUCGAUCCCUGCCGUGCCGAAGCUAACGCAUUAAGCAUUCCGCAUGGGAGUACGGUCGCAAGGCUG